rnacentral:rRNA from 1 species
CCUACGGGUGGCAGCAGUGGGGAAUAUUGCACAAUGGAGGGAACUCUGAUGCAGCGACGCCGCGUGAGUGAAGAAGGAAUUCGUUAUGUAAAGCUCUAUCAGUAGGGAAGAAAGUGACGGUACCUAAAAAAGAUGUUCCGGCUAAAUACGUGCCAGCAGCCGCGGUAAUACGUAUGGGGCAAGCGUUAUCCGGAUUUACUGGGUGUAAAGGGAGAGUAGGUGGACGAGCAAGUCCGAAGUGAAAACCCAAGGCUCAACCAUGGGAAUGCAUUAGAAACUGCUCAGCUAGAGUGCAGGAGAGGUGAGUGGAAUUCUUAGUGUAGCGGUGAAAUGCGUAGAUAUUAGGAAGAACACCAGUGGCGAAGGCGGCUUGCUGGACUGUAACUGACACUGAGGCUCGAAAGCGUGGGGAGCAAACAGGAUUAGAUACCCUGGUAGUC